AAUUAAGCAUUAUCUAACAACCCAGACAUCUGUUGGUAAUCAUUUCUGUGUAUUUUCUUGUAGCAUUUUUUCUGUGCCCCAUUUAAUACUUUUUCAUUUUUUUUUUUUAUUUAUUUGAGAGAGAAUGAGAGACAGAGAGCAUGAGAGGGAAGAGGGUCAGAGGGAGAAGCAGACUCCAUGCCAAGCAGGGAGCCCGAUGCAGGACUCGAUCCCGGGACUCCAGGAUCAUGACCUGAGCCGAAGGCAGUCGCUUAACCAACUGAGCCACCCAGGCGCCCCAAUACUUUUUCAUAUUUAAUUCAGGCUGCAGGGGGAAGGACUCGAGGAGUCCUGGAGGAGGACUGUUCCAGGCUAGUCAUCAUGCAGAACUUGCUUGCCUGAGUUCAGUGAAAGGGGACUCACAGUCCAUGUGGCCUCUCAUUCCACCUGAGGACAGCAGCAACCAUGUGGAUGUUCUUCCUGCUGCAGAGCUGAACCUGCCCCUUCAUAGUUCCCUCCACCAGGCCCGUUCUGCUCCCUGGAGGGUCACGGGCAGCCCCUUACCUGCUUAAGAUACCCAAGAGGAAUGGAAAGUGAGCAUGUGGUGGAGAUGGGCCUUCCUGGAAGGGGUACUGGUGUCGGAUUUGACUCUCCACUGCAGAGGGCCCCUUUCUAGGGAGAUGGAGCAUGCUGGUGACCAGCGGAGACCACGGAUGAGGCUCAGCGGACUGACUCACCACCCAUCGGGCAUCUGUGCUGUGAGCUCCCGACCCACCCUUGUGCUCGUCCCCUCUUCCCCUCAUCCCAGUCCACUUGCCGAAGUGACAAUCCUAAAUUCCAGAUUCGCUUAUACCACUCUCUUUCUAUCAUAAAGUGCUUCCUGAUACCAGAUCUCUGUCCCUGGGUCACAUCACACGGAUGUCCUGGGGAUAUUACCCUGAAAUGGCUGAUUUUCUCUUACUUGUUCAGUCGCAGAGGUUCCUGUUCUGGGCGUGAGCAGUCUUUCUGGGCAGCUGCCCGCGCCUCUCAUCGGGACAGUUGCUUGGGCGGCUCGCACGCAGUCUCUUGGAACAUGGAUUGCUCCCCACCAGCACCACCUGCUGCCCUGAUUCCCGGAGGCCCUCCUCCCUUUCCACCUGGCCCCCUCGCUGCCCCCUAGUUGACACGCUUCGGGGUUUGCCGCUGGCCCAGAACUGGGAGGGGCUGUGCUGGCACGGGGUGAUGGGUGAUCUGCAAAGAGCCUUGGGGGAGGGGCCUGGCUUUGAAGCUGGCACCGAGGCGUGUCCGUGCUGGUAGUGCCUGGCCCUGGGCAGUGGGAAGACGGAGGCGUCUUUGCAGAUCCAGCGCUCCUUUCCCGGGAGGCCCACCUGCGCAGGGGCUGGUGGCCGGAGUACUUUUACUCUGGACUACCUGGUGCUUCCUUCCCCCGGGGGCUCCACACCCUUUAACUGGGUCUGGCAAAGGAAGGCCCGGGCCUGUGGCCACAUCCGCCUGCGCUCCUGACCGCCACUCAGCACCAGUCACUCACGCAGAUACCCCAGGCGAUGAGAGGCUGGUCAUCAGGGGCAGAGGCGGUAAAGGGAGAAGAGCCGGGCAAGGAGCCCAGUGGUGCAGGGGCCAGAGGUGGAGCCCAGAAGGCACCAGGUGCACGCCGGUUUCCCCCAAAGUCAUCCUCUGUACUGGGGCGAUAGGCGGCUGCUUGACACCGACCAGGCUGGCUCUCCUGAGUCAGCCUCCUGCGGGCCCUGCAACUGAAGGUGACAAGUUCAUGCUUUGACUGUGGUGGUGACAGGCUAACGGCCUCCCUGCCACCCCUCAGGCAGUCCAGGGCCCAGCCUCUGACUGCUCGUUCUCUGCCCGUCAGUCCCUUUUGUUCAUAAGGGCCUGGCCUAAAUGUUUCUCACUGUUCAUAUUCAAAGCUUUAUUAAAGAUAAGUAGGUCCGGGGCGCCUGGGUGGCUCAGUCGUUAAGCGUCUGCCUUCGGCUCAGGUCAUGAUCCUGGAGUCCCGGGAUCGAGUCCCGCAUCAGGCUCCCUGCUCAGCAGGGAGUCUGCUUCUCCCUCUGGACCCUCCUCCCUCUCAUGCUCUCUCUCAUUCUCUCUGUCUCAAAUAAAAAAAUAAAAUAUUUAAAAAAAAAAAAAAAGAUAAGUAGGUCCGUGUAAGGAAAAAGAUGUCCUCAGGUCAACAAUGAACCGGGAGAAAAAAAAAAAAAUCGUAUAAUUUACCCAAAGUUCCUGGGUACUCUUCAGCCCCCGUAGGGACUCACAGACACCUUCUUGGGCUGGUCCUUCACCUGCGUGCUGAGCUCCGCCAGCCCCAAUCCUGAUCCGUUGGGCUGACCCUCUGGCUUUGGCCCCAGACACCCUGGUGGUGACAGUAAUGAGAAGGCAGGCCCAGGCCCCCAGCUACCCUGCCCUGGGUGCUGGGGACACUUGGUAGGUUUACCUGAAUUAACCAUGAUUAGUCUUAGUUUCCUCGUUUAUAAAAUGGGAUUAAUAAUAUCUAUCGCUUCAGGGCACCUGGGUGGCUCAGUCGUUAAAAGCGUCUGCCUUCGGCUCAGGUCAUGAUCCCGGGGUCCUGGGAUUGAGCCCCACAUCGGGCUCCCUGCUCGGCGGGAAGCCUGGCUCUCCCUCUCCCACUCCCCCUGCUUGUGUUCCCUCUCUCGCUGUGUCUCUGUCAAAUAAAUAAA